GCUGGGCAUGGUGGUGCAUGCCUGUAAUCCCAGUUACUCGGGAGGCUGAGGCAGGAGAAUCACUUGAACCCGGGAGGCAGAGGCUGCAGUGAGCCAAGAUCACACCACUGCAUUCCAGCCUGGGUGACAGAGUGAGACUCUGUCUCAA
ensembl:misc_RNA Metazoa_SRP Metazoan signal recognition particle RNA